CCUACGGGAGGCUGCAGUGGGGAAUAUUGGACAAUGGGGGCAACCCUGAUCCAGCCAUGCCGCGUGUGUGAAGAAGGCCCUCGGGUUGUAAAGCACUUUCAGUGAGGAAGAACGCCUGGUGGUUAAUACCCAUCAGGAAAGACAUCACUCACAGAAGAAGCACCGGCUAACUCCGUGCCAGCAGCCGCGGUAAUACGGAGGGUGCGAGCGUUAAUCGGAAUUACUGGGCGUAAAGCGCGCGUAGGUGGCUUGAUAAGCCGGUUGUGAAAGCCCCGGGCUCAACCUGGGAACGGCAUCCGGAACUGUCAAGCUAGAGUGCAGGAGAGGAAGGUAGAAUUCCCGGUGUAGCGGUGAAAUGCGUAGAGAUCGGGAGGAAUACCAGUGGCGAAGGCGGCCUUCUGGACUGACACUGACACUGAGGUGCGAAAGCGUGGGUAGCAAACAGGAUGAGAUACCCUAGUAGUC
rnacentral:rRNA from 1 species